rnacentral:tRNA from 1 species
GGAGGGAUGGCAGAGUGGUUGAUUGCGGCGGUCUUGAAAACCGCUGAGGCGGCAACGCUUCCGGGGGUUCGAAUCCCUCUCCCUCCGCCA